CAAUGAACUGAGACAUGCAACACAUACUAUAUAGCACCAGUUUUGUUCUUUUUUUAGUCGGAGAAGCUUUUCAUCUUGCAUUAUUAUUGGGCUUUACUCUAGUUACACGAAAAGCUGUGAACACACGUCACGUUUAUUGUAUAGCUAAGGUGCAUGCAUGCCCAAGCACCAUGCAAGCUGCAGAGAGUUCUAUCACUGCCUGGUCGACAAUGCGUCGCUGCCCUCCAGCCGGCACAUUGCCGGCAGCUGUGCCGCGAGCUGCUGCGCCUUUGCCACCUUUAGGCGGGCCGCCUGGUACUCCGCGCUAACAUGGUAUGGGCUGGCGUAGCCUUGUUGCCCUUGUCCUGGUUGUUGCCCUUGUCCUGGUUGCCACAGAGAAGUUGGGUAGUACCCUUGUUGCCCUUGUCCUGAUUGAUGCCCUUGUCCUGACUGCUGUGAAGAAGUUGGAUAGUACCCUUGUUGCCCUUGUCCUGGUUGCAGCCAUUGUCCUGGCUGUUGCUCAUGUCCUGGUUGUUGCCCUUGUCCUGACUGCUGCGGAGAAGUUGGGUAGUACCCUGGUUGCCCUUGUCCCGGUUGUUGCCCUUGUCCUGACUGUUGCGGGGAAGUUGGGUAGUACCCUUGUUGUCCUUGUCCUGAUUGUUGCCCUUGUCCUGCCUGCUGCUUUUGUCCUGGCUGCUGUGAAGUUGGGUAGUACCCUGGUUGCCCUUGUCCCAGUUGUUGCCCUUGUCCUGGCUGUUGCGGAGAAGUUGGGUAGUAUCCUUGUUGUCUUUGUCCUGGCUGCUGAUCUUGUUGCCCUUGUCCUGGUUGCUGUUCUUGUCCUGGCUGCUGUCCUUGUCCUGACUGUUGGGGAGAAGCUUGGCCUGGAUAGUAUGACCCCUGCUGCGAAGAAGUUACACUUGGGUAAUACCUUCUUAGUAGUGCAGGUAUUCCCCAAAAUAUCAUUUGUUGGAGUUGCUGCGAAGGCGUAGUCUCGCUGGGGUAGAAGGAUCCGGCCUUGGACGGCACCACAGGUUGCUGCUCGUAUUGUCUCGUGCCCGGGCUGACGGUGAUGGGGCGGCACCCGGGGCUAACGUCUCGGAGUUGCUGGUCCACCACCUGUUGGCAUGCCUCGAGCUCGUGCUCACAUUGUAGUUGUCCAGAGGCCUCACCUUCAGCGGCGGUGAGAGCCACGAGGGCGACGACUACUGCCGCAAAGAGGACCAGGCGCUUAGCCAUCUCAGUGAACUGUCAGUGAAUUGAUCUGUAGAUUGGGGUGCUCGGUGUUGUGGGUGAUGAUGAGAUUGUGAAGGUUGGAUGGGC
rnacentral:lncRNA from 1 species